rnacentral:misc_RNA from 1 species
GGACAAUAUUAGGGCUGCCAUUGCCAUAGUCAUGCAACCAAGGGUCUGUCUGUUCGCUAAUAGCUUUACCACCAUCAGGAUGAUGAUGAUUAGAAACAGUAUGUGGUCCUAUGCCUUCAACACCAUGCAUAGAGCUCAACUUAUAAUUUCUUUUGCUGCUAUGAAUAGAAGUUUCAGCUGCAAGAUCAUCAUACUUAUCCAUGGCAGACUUCCCACCAGGGGUACAAUUGGAAUAGUCGUAAGAAGUCGAUUUUCGUUUUAUUUGGUGGUGAGAUUUCUUGUCAUGAGAAUCAGAUGCAUUCUUGAGGUUACAGCUUGGCCCUUCCAUAUAUGAAUCCUGGGAAUUCAUCUUGGAACUAUAUACUUCAUAUCUACUGCUGAGACUGGAUUGCUUACGAACUCCAGAAACAUCAGGAGAAUGAAUCCUAGCAAGAUCUCCAACAUAGAAUGCUCCUGCAUUGACUGGAUCCCUACUUGAGGAUGAAAAAGCUCCAGGAGGAAGCGGUUGGAAUUCAACACCAAGUGGUGGACCAUCCUCCCUAUAGUGCUUGCCUAAUUGCCUUUUGACAGCAGUAAUGGCAGCAUUUUCAAUUUCACCCUUCACUUUCAAGUAACCUGAUGGUUUAUACCGCAUCUUAUUGGCACCCCUAGGAAUUAAUGACUUGCUAGCCCCAUUAUGCGCUACGUAGCCAGAAUCUUUCAUAUCAUGAAGAUCUUCACUUUGAGAAAAUAACUUAUCUUGCAAAGAUGAGCUACUUUCUGAGGAUGUAUUAUCCGUGCCAUUAACAUUUCCUGUGUAUCGACUCGUACGAUCAUAGGUCACAUCAGCAGCAGGAAGAUUGUGGCCAUAAAGUCUCUGACUCUCAACUUCCUUUGGAUCAACUUUCCUAUAAUCACCUUGUUUAGUGCUGCCACAAGAAUCCUGCCGUAAACCACUCCCACGAUCCUGAAUAAUACCACUAGACCUAUCCUGUCGGCCACUAGCACACAUUUCAUCCUUUGACAAUCUUUUGUCAAAUGCUUCAUCCUUUGACAAUCUUUUGUCUUUCAACCUUCUGUGGCAAAACCAACUGGAUAUUUGUUUUUCUGUCAACCCUAUCUGCUCUGCAAGUUCUGAUUUCAUUUCCUCCGUGGGAUAAUUGUGCUCAUUAUAGAAUUUCUCCAAAGCCAUAAUCUGGGCUGGUGUUUUGAGUAUCCUUUUGGUAUUCUUUUCUGGAGAUACCCCAUUCUCUUCAGAGUGCACUUCAUUUGAAUCUCCCAUGGUUGGUGAUUUUCAGUGGUUAUCUCUUGUUUUUCUUUCGGUGUGCGUUCGAUUGGCUCAAAAAGAGAAUCCCAUUAGACCGUGAUGAGGUAAAGGAGAAAAUGCUAUAGGGGUUUCUUAUGAUUGAUCAAAUAUCUCUUUACAUCUAAUUAAUUCUGCAGCGUACACGCAGAGGGGUGGUUUUGAAAGGGGGUGGAAAGGCAAACAAGGAAUUGAAUUCUUCUCUUUUGUUUUUUUGUUUUGUUUUUUUUUUUUUUUU